rnacentral:rRNA from 1 species
GAUCAGCGACGCCGCGUGAGUGAGAGUAUUUCGGUAUGUAAAGCUCUAUCAGCAGGGAAGAAAAUGACGGUACCUGACUAAGAAGCCCCGGCUAACUACGUGCCAGCAGCCGCGGUAAUACGUAGGGGGCAAGCGUUAUCCGGAUUUACUGGGUGUAAAGGGAGCGCAGACGGCAAUGCAAGUCUGAAGUGAAAGGCGUGGGCUCAACCCAUGAACUGCUUUGGAAACUGUAUAGCUUGAGUGUCGGAGGGGUAAGCGGAAUUCCUAGUGUAGCGGUGAAAUGCGUAGAUAUUAGGAGGAACACCGGAGGCGAAGGCGGCUUACUGGACGACAACUGACGUUGAGGCUCGAAGGCGUGGGGAGCAAACA